GACGAACGCUGGCGGCGUGCCUAAUACAUGCAAGUAGAACGCUGAAGGAGGAGCUUGCUUCUCUGGAUGAGUUGCGAACGGGUGAGUAACGCGUAGGUAACCUGCCUGGUAGCGGGGGAUAACUAUUGGAAACGAUAGCUAAUACCGCAUAAGAGUAGAUGUUGCAUGACAUUUGCUUAAAAGGUGCAAUUGCAUCACUACCAGAUGGACCUGCGUUGUAUUAGCUAGUUGGUGGGGUAACGGCUCACCAAGGCGACGAUACAUAGCCGACCUGAUAGGGUGAUCGGCCACACUGGGACUGAGACACGGCCCAGACUCCUACGGGAGGCAGCAGUAGGGAAUCUUCGGCAAUGGACGGAAGUCUGACCGAGCAAAGCCGCGUGAGUGAAGAAGGUUUUCGGAUCGUAAAGCUCUGUUGUAAGAGAAGAACGAGUGUGAGAGUGGAAAGUUCACACUGUGACGGUAUCUUACCAGAAAGGGACGGCUAACUACGUG
rnacentral:rRNA from 1 species